GAUGAACGCUGGCGGCGUGCCUAAUACAUGCAAGUCGAGCGAACGGACGAGAAGCUUGCUUCUCUCAUGUUAGCGGCGGACGGGUGAGUAACACGUGGAUAACCUACCUAUAAGACUGGGAUAACUUCGGGAAACCGGAGCUAAUACCGGAUAAUAUUUUGAACCGCAUGGUUCAAAAGUGAAAGACGGUCUUGCUGUCACUUAUAGAUGGAUCCGCGCUGCAUUAGCUAGUUGGUAAGGUAACGGCUUACCAAGGCAACGAUGCAUAGCCGACCUGAGAGGGUGAUCGGCCACACUGGAACUGAGACACGGUCCAGACUCCUACGGGAGGCAGCAGUAGGGAAUCUUCCGCAAUGGGCGAAAGCCUGACGGAGCAACGCCGCGUGAGUGAUGAAGGUCUUCGGAUCGUAAAACUCUGUUAUUAGGGAAGAACAUAUGUGUAAGUAACUGUGCACAUCUUGACGGUACCUAAUCAGAAAGCCACGGCUAACUACGU
rnacentral:rRNA from 1 species